GCACCCGGUCAGCUCUCACACCUGACGAGCGAAGCGGUCAAACCGGAGUUAAUAUCUGCGUGGCUUUUCAAUGAUGGUGACAACUAAGGUACCCCGAGGGGCUGAAAAGUUACACCGUGGUCGCUUCAUUUCUGCUGGACAGGUCACCUGCAGAUUUGGAGUCUUUCAUAGCCCUGUACUUCUCACCAGUAUACGCUGAAUGGACCACGCUGGCUGGCCUGGAUUACAACCACCAUGUCCACAGUCCAGCCAGGAGAAAAGCUGAUGACACAGUUCAGUACAGCAAGGUGUACAACAAAAACUCCAGGAAGUGGAGCUUGUACUCAUUGAAGGUGG